rnacentral:rRNA from 1 species
GCGCAUGGACGAGAUCUGACGCAGCAACGCCGCGUGGGUGAUGAAGGUCUUCGGACUGUAAAACCCUGUCGUCAGGGACGAAGGUGGCAGUGUUAAUAGCGCUGUUACUUGACGGUACCUGGAGAGGAAGCCCCGGCUAACUCUGUGCCAGCAGCCGCGGUAAUACAGAGGGGGCAAGCGUUAUUCGGAAUUAUUGGGCGUAAAGGGCGCGUAGGCGGUUUUUUAAGUCAGAUGUGUAAUCCCCGAGCUCAACUUGGGAACUGCAUCUGAGACUGGAAGGCUAGAGUACUGGAGAGGGUGGUGGAAUUCCUCGUGUAGCGGUGAAAUGCGUANAGAUGANGANGAACACCAGUGGCGAAGGCGGCCACCUGGACAGUAACUGACGCUGAGGCGCGAAAGUGUGGGUAGCAAACAGGAUUAGAUACCCUGGUAGUCCACGCUGUAAACNAUGAACACUUGGUGUGGANGGAGUUGACCCUUCCGUGCCGGAACUAACNCGU